CCUACGGGGGGCAGCAGUGGGGAAUAUUGCACAAUGGGGGAAACCCUGAUGCAGCGACGCCGCGUGAGUGAAGAAGUAUUUCGGUAUGUAAAGCUCUAUUAGCAGGGAAGAAAAUGACGGUACCUGAUCAAGAAGCCCCGGCUAAUUACGUGCCAGCAGCCGCGGUAAUACGUAGGGGGCAAGCGUUAUCCGGAUUUACUGGGUGUAAAGGGGGUGUAGACGGCAGAACAAGUCUGGAGUGAAAUGCCGGGGCUUAACCCCGGAACUGCUUUGGAAACUGUGCAGCUAGAGUGCAGGAGAGGUGAGUGGAAUUCCGAGUGUAGCGGUGAAAUGCGUAGAUAUUAGGAGGAACACCAGUGGAGAAGGCGGCUUACUGGACUGUAACUGACGUUGAGGCUCGAAAGCGUGGGGAGCAAACAGGAUUAGAUACCCGGGUAGUC
rnacentral:rRNA from 1 species